rnacentral:rRNA from 1 species
GAUGAACGCUGGCGGCGUGCUUAAUACAUGCAAGUCGAGCGAACAGACGCGGAGCUUGCUCCUUUGACGUUAGCGGCGGACGGGUGAGUAACACGUGGAUAAUCUACCUAUAAGACUGGGAUAACUUCGGGAAACCGGAGAUAAUACCGGAUAAUAUAUUGAACCGCAUGGUUCAAUAGUGAAAGACGGCUUUGCUGUCACUUAUAGAUGGAUCUGCGCCGCAUUAGCUAGUUGGUAAGGUAACGGCUUACCAAGGCAACGAUGCGUAGCCGACCUGAGAGGGUGAUCGGCCGCACUGGAGCGUGGACACGGUCCAUGCUCCUGCGAGAGGCAGCAGUAGGGAAUCUUCCGCAGAGGGCGAGAACUUGACGGAGCAACGCCGCGUGAGAGAUGAAGGUCUUCGGAUCGUAAAGCUCUGUUAUGAGGGAAGAACAAAUGUGUAAGUAACUAUGCACGUCUUGACGGUACCUAAUCAGAAAGCCACGGCUAACUACGUG